CCGGUAACUUAGACACAAACAUUUACAAUUUGAGACGGAUGUUCCUGUGUCGGACGUGUGCUGAAACGCAAGAACACUGCGAGUUUUAAAGGCCUCUCCCUGGCUAGGCCGUUAUUUCACAAAGAGCGCAAGAUCUCCAUCUGCAGCAAGUGUUUUUGCAGGUCCAUAUCUUACCCGUCAACGAUGUCGAUGACGUCCAUCUUUGUCAUCAACGUUCUGAUAAUGGCACUGUCGCCCGUCACCAUUUGCAAUGCGCAGUCCACCCAACUACAUGACCUGCUCGCACCAGCGUCCUCCUGCGGGGCAAACGUCACCGCCAUGGUGGAGGAAGUGGAGGACGCCCUCCAGAGUCUACCGUCGACAACGUACCUCGACGCAUCGUCAGAUUUGAACUUCUUCGGAAUUCGCGUACGCAACAGGACCCUUUCAGGGUUAGGCUCCCUUCGCCCAAACAGACCGUUCUUGAGCUUUUGUAAGAACGGUACGCCAGCCCUCAAGUUGAGUCUGGUAUCGAGCAACCCCAUUACGAUAAGGUUCUACUACGGCGACUUUGAGCCGGACGGUUACGUCUACGUUCGCGCAAGGUGGACGAGUCUUGAAGUGGAUGUCGAGGGAAAUUUCGCGAGGUCUGGCAACGGGACGAUUGGCGUUGCCGCCAGGGUGUCUGCGGCAGAAGACAUAGAUUUGCAGUUCCACAGAAUAUAUCAUGAAUACGAAGCGAUAUUGGCCAGGAUUAAUAUUUCUUUUCGUGACCUUAUCAAGAAGCUAUACACUGAUAUGGUAGCAGGUUAUUUGACCGAUAAACUAUCCCGUCACCUUAUUUAGACGUGACGGCCACCUGCCUGAACCUAUAACAUGUACGUGGUAAACAGGUACCAACAUAACGCGUGUUACGUUCGAUUAAUCAUGAAUUACUAUUUCGGGCAGGCACUUCGGUAUUAUGUUUUGAAACACGCUUGGAACGAAAAUGCUAGGCUGACUGAUGUAAUCAUAAAAGUGAAUGACUCAAAAAUAAAAUGUUUUUUCUCUGUAGCUUCA